rnacentral:rRNA from 1 species
GCUAACUCCGUGCCAGCAGCCGCGGUAAUACGGAGGGGGCGAGCGUUGUCCGAAUUUAUUGGGCGUAAAGCGCGUGUAGGCGGGUGUCCAAGCCCGGGGUGAAAGGUUGGGGCUCAACCCCAACAGUGCCCUGGGGACUGGACGUCUGGAGGCAGGCAGGGGAGCGUGGAAUUCCUGGUGUAGCGGUGGAAUGCGUAGAGAUCAGGAAGAACACCCGUGGCGAAGGCGGCGCUCUGGGCCUGUACUGACGCUGAGACGCGAAAGCGUGGGGAGCGAACGGGAUUAGAUACCCCUGUAGUC